rnacentral:rRNA from 1 species
GCUAACUACGUGCCAGCAGCCGCGGUAAUACGUAGGGUGCGAGCGUUAAUCGGAAUUACUGGGCGUAAAGGGUGCGCAGGCGGCCAUGUAAGACAGGUGUGAAAUCCCCGGGCUUAACCUGGGAAUUGCGCUUGUGACUGCAUGGCUAGAGUACGGCAGAGGGGGGUGGAAUUCCACGUGUAGCAGUGAAAUGCGUAGAGAUGUGGAGGAACACCAAUGGCGAAGGCAGCCCCCUGGGCCGACACUGACGCUCAUGCACGAAAGCGUGGGUAGCAAACAGGAUUAGAUACCCUUGUAGUC